AGCAGUUUAGCUCAAUGGUAGAGCAUUUGACCAGAAAUCAAAGGGAUGUGAGUUCAAUUCUCAUGUAUAGUUGCUG
rnacentral:tRNA from 1 species